rnacentral:SRP_RNA from 1 species
GCUGGGUGUGGUGGCGUGCACCUAUAAUCUCAGCUACUCGGGAGGCUGAGGCAGGAGAAUCGCUUGAACCCGGGAGGCGGAGGUUGCAGUGAGCCAAGAUUGUGCCAUUGCACUCCAGCCCGGGUGACAGAGCGAGACUCUGUCUCAA